rnacentral:snRNA from 1 species
CUGCUCACUUCGGCAGCACAUAUACUAAAAUUGGAACAAUACAGAAAAGAUUAGCACGGCCUCUGCACAAGGACGACAGCAAAUUUGUGACUGUUCCAUAUUAAA